CACGUAGGGUGCGAGCGUUGUCCGGAAUUAUUGGGCGUAAAGAGCUCGUAGGCGGUGUGUCACGUCGGCCGUGAAAACCUGCAGCUUAACUGUGGGCGUGCGGUCGAUACGGGCAUCACUGGAGUUCGGCAGGGGAGACUGGAAUUCCUGGUGUAGCGGUGAAGUGCGCAGAUAUCAGGAGGAACACCGGUGGCGAAGGCGGGUCUCUGGGCCGAUACUGACGCUGAGGAGCGAAAGCGUGGGGAGCAAACAGG
rnacentral:rRNA from 1 species